rnacentral:rRNA from 1 species
AUUGAACGCUGGCGGCAGGCCUAACACAUGCAAGUCGAGCGGAUGACGGGAGCUUGCUCCUUGAUUCAGCGGCGGACGGGUGAGUAAUGCCUAGGAAUCUGCCUGGUAGUGGGGGACAACGUUUCGAAAGGAACGCUAAUACCGCAUACGUCCUACGGGAGAAAGCAGGGGACCUUCGGGCCUUGCGCUAUCAGAUGAGCCUAGGUCGGAUUAGCUAGUUGGUGGGGUAAUGGCUCACCAAGGCGACGAUCCGUAACUGGUCUGAGAGGAUGAUCAGUCACACUGGGACUGAGACACGGUCCAGACUCCUACGGGCGGCAGCAGUGGGGAAUAUUGGACAAUGGGCGAAAGCCUGAUCCAGCCAUGCCGCGUGUGUGAAGAAGGUCUUCGGAUUGUAAAGCACUUUAAGUUGGGAGGAAGGGCAGUAAGUUAAUACCUUGCUGUUUUGACGUUACCGACAGAAUAAGCACCGGCUAACUCUGUGCCAGCCGCCGCCGUAA